GGUGAGAUGGCCGAGCGGUCUAAGGCGCCAGACUAAGGUUUCGUGCCUGUCGACAUCUGGUCCGAAAGGGCGUGGGUUCGAAUCCCACUCUCAUCA
rnacentral:tRNA from 1 species